CGGCGAGCGAAAGGGGAAGAGCCCAAACCAGAUAACUUCGGUUGUCUGGGGUUGAGGACCGGCAAAAAGAGGAAACUUCUUAGUCGAAUGGUUUGGAAAGGCCAUGCACAGAAGGUAAAACACCUGUAGGCGAAAAGAAGUCAAUCGGGCUGGUAUCCAGAGUACUGCGAGACACGUGAAACCUUGCAGGAAGCAGGGGGGACCACCCUCCAAGGCAAAAUACUACUUGGCGACCGAUAGCGCAUAGUACCGUGAGGGAAAGGUG
rnacentral:rRNA from 1 species